UCCGGCUUAUCACCGGCAGUCCCCUUAGAGUGCCUAACUGAAUGAUGGCAACUAAGGGCGAGGGUUGCGCUCGUUGCGGGACUUAACCCAACAUCUCACGGCACGAGCUGACGACAGCCAUGCAGCACCUCUGCCAGCUCCCUUGCGGGUCGUUCCCCUUUCAGGGUCCUACCACUGACAGUUCAAGCCCAGGUAAGGUUCUUCGCGUUGCAUCGAAUUAAACCACAUGCUCCACCGCUUGUGCGGGCCCCCGUCAAUUCCUUUGAGUUUUAAUCUUGCGACCGUACUCCCCAGGCGGGAGGCUUAAUGCGUUAGCUGCGCCACUGACGAGCAUGCUCGCCAACGGCUAGCCUCCAUCGUUUACGGCGUGGACUAC
rnacentral:misc_RNA from 1 species